ACGGAAGGCAGCAGUGAGGAAUAUUGGUCAAUGGGCGGAAGCCUGAACCAGCCAUGCCGCGUGAAGGAAUGAGGCCCUAUGGGUCGUAAACUUCUUUUGACGGGGAGCAAUAAGGUCCACGUGUGGACUGAUGAGAGUACUCGUCGAAUAAGCAUCGGCUAACUCCGUGCCAGCAGCCGCGGUAAUACGGAGGAUGCAAGCGUUAUCCGGAUUUAUUGGGUUUAAAGGGUGCGUAGGCUGUUGUGUAAGUCAGAGGUGAAAGCCCAGUGCUCAACACUGGAACUGCCUUUGAUACUGCAUGGCUUGAAUACUGUUGCCGUGGGAGGAAUGAGUAGUGUAGCGGUGAAAUGCAUAGAUAUUACUCAGAACACCAAUUGCGAAGGCAUCUCACGAAGCAGUCAUUGACGCUGAGGCACGAAAGCGUGGGGAUCAAACAGGAUUAGAUACCCUGGUA
rnacentral:rRNA from 1 species